rnacentral:rRNA from 1 species
GACGAACCGUCCUAACGUUGUUCGGAAUCACUGGGCUUAAAGGGCGCGUAGGCGGGUUCCCAAGUCGGUGGUGAAAUCUUUCGGCCCAACCGGAAAACAGCCGCCGAUACUGGGAGUCUUGAGGGAGGUAGGGGUCGAUGGAACUUCCGGUGGAGCGGUGAAAUGCGUAGAUAUCGGAAGGAACGCCGGUGGCGAAAGCGAUCGACUGGACCUUUUCUGACGCUGAGGCGCGAGAGCGUGGGGAGCGAACCGG